GGGUGAGUAAACCGGCGAACGGGUGCGUAACACGUGGAUAAUCUACCUUCCUGACUGGGACAACUGGCCGAAAGGCUUGCUAAUACCAGAUAAGCCCACGGCGUCUUUGGACGCUGAGGGAAAAGGUGGCCUCUGCAUGCAAGCUAUCACAGGGAGAUGAGUCCGCGGCCCAUCAGCUAGUUGGCGGGGUAAAAGCCCACCAAGGCAACGACGGGUAGCUGGUCUGAGAGGAUGAUCAGCCACACUGGAACUGAGACACGGUCCAGGCUCCUACGGGAGGCAGCAGUGGGGAAUCUUGCGCAAUGGGCGAAAGCCUGACGCAGUAACGCCGCGUGUGUGAUGAAGGUCUUCGGAUCGUAAAGCACUGUCGCGAGGGAAGAUACGCCCCUGGCCAACAUCCAUGGGCUAAGACGGUACCUCGAGAGGAAGCACCGGCUAACUCUGUGCCAGCAGCCGCGGUAAUACAGAGGGUGCGAGCGUUGUUCGGAAUCAUUGGGCGUAAAGCGCUUGUAGGCGGCCUGUCAAGUCGCGUGUGAAAUCCCCUGGCUUAACCAGGGAAGUGCGCGCGAAACUGGCGGGCUUGAGUGCCGGAGAGGGUCGCGGAAUUCCCGGUGUAGAGGUGAAAUUCGUAGAUAUCGGGAGGAACACCAGUGGCGAAGGCGGCGACCUGGACGGACACUGACGCUGAGACGCGAAAGCGUGGGGAGCAAA
rnacentral:rRNA from 1 species